UCACAGGAUUUAGAAAUUAUGAAGGAUGAAAAAAAACCAAUAGAAAAAAUAAGUCUAUCACAGUCCCACAUCGACUAAGUGAACUAUACAAAGAUGAAGGGACUGCCUAUAUAAGCAGCGGCCCAAGAAGUAGAAAAGCAUACCUUUCUCGGCCUUUUGGCUAAGAUCAAGUGUAGUAUCUGUUCUUAUCAGUUUAAUAUCUGAUAUGUGGGCCAUCGGUCCACUCGAUAUUAAUCUAAUUUUUUAUGGGGAAAGGCCCAUCACAAUAGCUUGCUAUUGGGGUCUUUGAGCGUCGCCUUGGCAUUGCACUACUGCCUUGGCCUGGUGCACCCCUCCAAAUCCUAGGUUUAUUGAUGUGUUUUUAAAGAAGUUUUGGUAUAUUCCAUGUUGAUGAGUGAUUUUGAAGAGAGGUUAGAUGAAUGCAUUUUAAGGCUAAUCUAGAAAACUUGGGUUCUAUUUCUAGUUGUCUGAUGAAGAUGAUGAUGUUAAAUGGCUCUACUACCUUUUAGGAGCUAUUUAUUGCUCUUGUAUUAAAAAGCCCUCACUUUCCUGUAUUGUUUUUAUUGAUCUUGUAAACAGAUGCUUGGAACGGGUGGAAUGAGUUAUCAUAGGCAAAAACAAAACAUGCCUGGUUAUGCGGUUUGCUUUAGGUUUCUAUGAAAUGGUGGUUGCUUAUGCGGUAACAAUUUCGACUUUUUCCCUGACCAAAAUUGUCUUUAAAUACUUUUCUUGGUAUUGAUGUUUUGGGUAUUCAUCAAUAUUCUUUUAAAUGACUAUAAAAAUCAUCAAAUAAUGAAUUUUCUACAUUUUUGUUUGUUUGUUAAGAACAAUCUUAACAUUCAUGUCAAAGCCAUGUCUUAUGAAAUUGAAACCAACAAGGAAUUUAUCAACUUCCAUGACCAUUACAUUUGAAUUUUAAUUAAGGUUUUAUGUGGAUCUAACAACUUCGACUUGUAUGAGGUACAGUUUUUGAUAAUCCAUCAGGGUGAUGCACAAAGCCAACUGUGACCAUAUAAAAGGACGCGAUACGACAGCAACAUUUAUAUGUUGACAUGUUGUCAUUUGGAGUAGUGCAGAUUUUCGUCACAGAUACCAGUUUCCAUAGCAUGGUUUUGGUGUCCGGUUGUUGCAGCAGUAAUGUCGUCUUGUUACUCUUCUUUGGUUUUGGGCUCUGUUUCGCUCAAGUAAUCGGUA